rnacentral:rRNA from 1 species
CGCUAGCUACAGGCUUAACACAUGCAAGUCGAGGGGCAGCAUGAUCUAAGCUUGCUAGAUGAUGGCGACCGGCGCACGGGUGAGUAACGCGUAUCCAACCUUCCCUAUAGUAGAGGAUAGCCCGGCGAAAAGUCGGAUUAAGUACUCUAUGUUUUCCAAUGCAGACAUCUAAAAUGGAACAAAGGUUUACCGCUAUAGGAUGGGGAUGCGUCUGAUUAGGUGUUGCGGGGUAACGGCCCACCAAGCCUACGAUCAGUAGGGGUUCUGAGAGGAAGGUCCCCCACAUUGGAACUGAGACACGGUCCAAACUCCUACGGGAGGCAGCAGGUGAGGAAUAUUGGUCAAUGGGCGAGAGCCUGAACCAGCCAAAGUAGCGUGCAGGAUGACGGCCCUAUGGGUUGUAAACUGCUUUUAUACGGGGAUAAGGUGAGGGACGCGUCCCUUUUGUAGGUACCGUAUGAAUAAGGACCGGCUAAUUCCGUGCCAGCCGCCGC